UUUUUUUUUUUUUUUUUUUGAGACGCGGUCUCGUUCUAUCGCCCAGGCCAGAGUCUUAGAGGCCUGAUCUCCGCUCAAGGCAAGCUCCGCCUCCCGGGUUCACGCCAUUCUCCUGCCUCAGCCUCCCUAGCAGCUGGGACUACAGGGAUCUGCCACCACGACCGGCUAAUUUUUUUGUAUUUUUAGUAGAGACGGGGUUUCACUGUGCUAGCCAGGAUGGUCUCGAUCUCCUGACCUCGUAAUCCACCCGCCUCGGCCUCCCAAAAGUGCUGGGAUUACAGACUUGAGCCACCGCGCCCGGCCAGUUAGUACCAAUUUUUCUAAUGACAGUAUAAUGCUAAUGGACAUUUCUCUGACCUCUUAACUUUAGGGUUAAUUAUUUAGUAUAAAUAAAUAAUUACAGUUUCAGUUGGUAAGCUAAGUAUCUGGAAAAAUAAAUUAUCAAAUAUACUUACAUUUCCUUUUUUAGGUAGAUUAAAAUACUUUUAUAUAUUUAAACUGAGAUAAUAUCUACUCACUGUAGAAAAUUUACAUAAAUUAUUAAAGAAAAGGCAAAAUACUCAUUUGUCAGUGACACAUUCCAUCAACAUUAUGGGCUUAUCUUCAUUAUGAUUUGUACAUAAAAAUACUUAUGAUAUAUUGGAAAGUCCUUGAUCUCAAGAACUGUUUGUAAUUCAUCUUUGUAUCCAUGCAGUAAGGAGUAUAGUGCAUAAGAUACAGCAGGUGUUCAAAGUUCUGUUAAAUUGCACAUUAACUGUAAGAGCAUUCAAAAAAGCUAUAUAUUUACAUAUUUUAAAGUGUUCAUGUAUACAUAUGUAAAAUAUGUAUUUGUACAUCUCCAACUUAAGGACAAAUAUGAGUGAAGCUAUUAAAAACUCAUUAGCAUAAUUUGUAUUGGCAAAAUACUGGAUAUUAAAUAACAGAUAUGACUAAAAUGAAUCAUUUAUAUUAGAUAUUAUUAUAAGUUGAAACUGUUUUGAAAUCAAAGACAUACCAUAAAUAUUACUUUAUAAAUGUCAUUGGAAGCGAAUCAUGACCAUCUUUUUUUCAAAAGCAAAUAUAGCCAAAAUGCCAACAAAACAAUUAGUACUCUAAGCCCAGAACUAAAGGAAUACCUAAAAAUAAAUGAUGUUAAUAUUUAACUCACAGUAUUGUAAACUUCCUGUUUAAGUAAUUAAUUAACACAUUUACUUUCUAGAAAGGCAGAAGACUGUGAAAAAGAAGCACAACAGAAACAGACAAACUGCCGAGGGGAUCUGGUUAAAGUUUUAGAUUGAUUUCUUUCAGCUCUGCUUUGUUAAAAUCUCCACUCAGAAACCCAUCUACGGUUUAUUUUUUUUAUUGUUCUGAAGUAAGCUACUAGUUUCGUUUUUUUACUUAUUAUAUUUAUAAUGGUCAUACUGAACAAGUCAAAAUCAGGAAAAUGACAACAUUUCCAUACAUGUUUGCUUAAAAGAUUUACUUUAAAUUAAAACUGUAGUACAGAUAAUCUCACCAUUACUAUUUUGACAGCUUUAUGGCCACGAUAAAACUUAUAAUUACCAUUGAAAUGCGAUACCUGGUUAAAUGCUAUGUUCAUCUCAUUCUUUUAAAGUAUAUUUUAAUGAAUCAUGAGCAUAUUUUAGUUAUUAUCUUCCUACAUCUUAAAACCAUCUUACAGAUAAGCUAACUUUGGGUGACAUUAGACAAAUAUACAUUUAACUUAUGUAAUACAGAUACAUUGUGUGUACAAAAGACUGCUUUGUUUUGAGCUGCCACAGUGGUGAGUUUCAAGGAUUCACAAGGGUACAGAUAGUCCCAAGUAAUCUGUUCCCAGAUAAAGCACUGUCCUUAAAGGGUUGCUUAUACUUCAUAAUUGUGCUGCUAAUCAGUAACUGAAAACAUAUCUAUCCUUGAAAUACCUAUCUUUGGAUUCAUUAUGUUCUUUGCAGCCAGUGUGAUGUAAUGAAUAGUGUGUGACCUUUGGGGCAAAGAGAUUCAGGUUUGGAUUGCCUUCAUGCCAUCUGGACCUUUGGAACACAUCCCUUUACCCAAAACUAUCUGAGCUCUGACUUUCUUCUAAGUAAAGAAGGGUUAAUAAUUUCUAUCUUAAAGUUAUUUUCCAGAUUAGAGGUAUAAAAUGUAACACCUGCAGCUGGAAACCAUCAUUCUCAGCAAACUAUGGCAAGAACAGAAAACCAAAUACCGCAUGUUCUCACUCAUAGGUGGGAACUGAACGAUGAGAUCACUUGGACACAGGAAGGGGAACAUCACAUACCGGGUCCUAUUGUGGGGGAGGGGGUAGGGAGGGAUAGCAUUAGGAGAUAUACCUAAUGUAAAUGAUGAGUUAAUGGGUGCAGCACACCAACAUGGCACAUGUAUAUAUAUGUAACAAACCUGCAC
ensembl:lncRNA